rnacentral:tRNA from 2 species
GGAGAGGUGGCAGAGUGGUCGAAUGCGCUGGUUUGCUAAACCAGUGAUCCUGUCACAGGGAUCCACGGGUUCGAAUCCCGUCCUCUCCG